UCAAAGGUGUAGAACAUGAGGGGAAGGACGGGACAAGCAGACAGCGAGAUCAAUGAAUCACGGGCAUCACGGAUGUAGAGCUGAGGUAAAGCACAGAAGACCAGAAGCAGAGUCAAGCCAGGAGGACAGGCUGAUGGGGACAGGCCCAGAAGAUCAGGCUGAAGGGACCAGAUCGGCCGUCUGGACCCUCGAGGGGUUGGUUGAGCAAGGAGCACACCAAUCAAUGUUCACGUGGCCCCAAGGGACUCUGUUCACCCUUAGGAGCCAUUCAUGGUAGCGUAGAGCAGUCUCAAGCUCUUUCCUCCCCUCACUGGCUGGGAAGGAGGAGCUCAUCCACUUUGGGCAGGGGUUUAGCUGAGAAGGCAAGUGACAAACAAAAGCUAGACAAAUCUAAUCUAAUCCUCUGAUUUCCAGAUGAGGAACCUAAGAGAGCCCCCACAUCUCACAACCUGUUGGUGCCCCCAGAGGUCCUAAAUCCCAGCUCUGGACCUUUUCCACCAUGGCUCACGUUACUGUCUCAUCAGUUCUCUACCCUGGGAUGGUAUUUCUUCUCAUCUGACCUGGGCAGAGCUCAGAGGACGGAGGACGGCCUCACACUUUGCACCCAUGACUCUCUUGGACUGAAUGGUAUGCAAGACAAGCCCUAGCUGAAGAAACAACGGAGAUCAAGAAACAAACAAACAGACAACAGAUUCCUGAACCUGGCUUUCACAUGGCCCCAGGCCGCUUUCCUGACCUGGUGUCCUCCAAUUUCUUCCAUGCCCAGGAAGUUCCAGACAAACCAACCAGACCUCGUUCUCCUAGACACAGCAUACACUCGAUUCAUGCCAUUUCCCCUUGGAAUCGCCUUCUGUUCUCAGCUCACUCACCUCGCUGAAAAAAAUCCCACUUAACUUUCGAUGUCCAAGCCAACGCCGGCUCCUCCGAUGCCGACCCUCUUUCAGGCAGAAUUAGCUGUUCCCUCUUCUACACCUUCCCAGCAUUCUAUUCACGGGGCUAAUCUACUGACCAACAGUUUCGGUAAGCUACCUUUCUUGCCUCCCUCCAAAAAGAUAUAGGCCCUUCUUUUUGGUCUCCUACGUAAUCAAGUAACUCUGUUACACUUACACCCUAUGCUACUGUGUGUGCUUGAGUGGGUGUGUGUGAGUGGGCACCGAGUUUCAUAACCUGUCUGUCUACUACAUUAAACCACGAUCUCCUCAAAGAUCAAUACUGUCUUAUCUUUCUUUGAAUCCCUCGCGCCAAGAGAGAGCACAGAGUUUUAGUAGCCACUAAAUAAUUCUUCAGUCAAAAUUAAAAUUAGACAUCAUCCCCUAGUCAGCCUCUCCCAGCCCUAAGAAGUGGGCUUCUGUCACCACAGCACACUGUGCAUACCAACUUUAACUGAGACUAUCUGCCGAUGAGUCCAUGUCCUUGACUAAGACUGGAGACCAAUGUUCGAGAACAACGGAACAGAGUUUCCCGUUGUUUCUUUUCAGGCAUACGCACCGCAUCUUUCACCACUCGUACGUUUUGACAUCUCCUCCAGCCCUGGACUGAGAGCAAGCAUUUAGCAAGUAUCUGUCAAGUGGCAGACCCUUCUUGAAUGUUCGAGAAUAAGUUGAGAGGACGCCAUGUCCGUCUCAGCUGUGUUUCCAGGAAAGGACGGAUUGAGCCUUUCAGGGCUACGCCCCCCAACCUUAACUGAUGUCCUGUAUCUAUCCUGGUAUUUCAGUGUGAUUAGUCAAGUCACCACAAACGAGAAUCUGUCACUGUCCUCAUUUCCAGCUCAUUUACAUGGUCCGACACCGGCCACUUUGCUCCUCUCCAGUUGUCCCAAUAUGUUCACCAGAUUGGCAUGUAUCAUACUAACCUUGCCCAGGAGUAAAAAUAAAAUAAAAUAAAAUUAGAUGAGACACAGAAAUAAAAUUCUCAGAUAAAUUAAAAGUAAUGCCUACUUAUGUGACAAGUUCUAUUCGAAACUGAGGGUUGGGUCACUGUUCAAUGCAAUCAGAGUAACACAGGCCUACUGAGUAAUGACAACUUUUAACAUUACUUUCCCCACAACUGAAGAAUUUUUGAAAUUUUGUUUUUAAAAAAUACACCACAAAUACCAGGCUGUUUAUAAGCAUAAACUCAAUCUCACCUUAUUAUUAAAAGUUAUGAAGACACUGCAUGGUAU